rnacentral:rRNA from 1 species
AGUGAACGCUGGCGGUAGGCCUAACACAUGCAAGUCGAACGGCAGCACAGGAGAGCUUGCUCUCUGGGUGGCGAGUGGCGGACGGGUGAGGAAUACAUCGGAAUCUACCUUUUCGUGGGGGAUAACGUAGGGAAACUUACGCUAAUACCGCAUACGACCUACGGGUGAGAGUGGGGGACCGCAAGGCCUCACGCGAUUAGAUGAGCCGGUGUCCGAUUAGCUAGUUGGCGGGGUAAUGGCCCACCAAGGCGACGAUCGGUAGCUGGUCUGAGAGGAUGAUCAGCCACACUGGAACUGAGACACGGUCCAGACUCCUACGGGAGGCAGCAGUGGGGAAUAUUGGACAAUGGGCGCAAGCCUGAUCCAGCCAUACCGCGCGGGUGAAGAAGGCCUUCGGGUUGUAAAGCCCUUUUGUUGGGAAAGAAAUCCAGCUGGUUAAUACCCGGUUGGGAUGACGGUACCCAAAGAAUAAGCACCGGCUAACUUCGUGCCAGCCGCCGCCGUAAUAC